rnacentral:rRNA from 1 species
AGAGUUUGAUCAUGGCUCAGGACGAACGCUGGCGGCGUGCUUAACACAUGCAAGUCGAACGCUGAAGCCCGGUGCUUGCACUGGGUGGAUGAGUGGCGAACGGGUGAGUAACACGUGAGUAACCUGCCCCGGACUCUGGGAUAAGCGCUGGAAACGGCGUCUAAUACUGGAUAUGCACCAUGGCCGCAUGGCCUGUGGUGGGAAAGAUGUAUCGGUUCGGGAUGGACUCGCGGCCUAUCAGCUAGAUGGUGAGGUAAUGGCUCACCAUGGCGACGACGGGUAGCCGGCCUGAGAGGGUGACCGGCCACACUGGGACUGAGACACGGCCCAGACUCCUACGGGAGGCAGCAGUGGGGAAUAUUGCACAAUGGGCGCAAGCCUGAUGCAGCAACGCCGCGUGAGGGAUGACGGCCUUCGGGUUGUAAACCUCUUUUAGUAGGGAAGAAGCGAAAGUGACGGUACCUGCAGAAAAAGCACCGGCUAACUACGUGCCAGCAGCCGCGGUAAUACGUAGGGUGCAAGCGUUGUCCGGAAUUAUUGGGCGUAAAGAGCUCGUAGGCGGCUUGUCGCGUCUGCCGUGAAAACCCAGGGCUCAACUCUGGGCGUGCGGUGGGUACGGGCAGGCUAGAGUGCGGUAGGGGAGAUUGGAAUUCCUGGUGUAGCGGUGGAAUGCGCAGAUAUCAGGAGGAACACCGAUGGCGAAGGCA